rnacentral:misc_RNA from 1 species
GGUGAAGAACGUAGCGAAAUGCGAUAAUUAAUGUGAAUUGCAGAAUUUAGUGAAUCAUCGAAUCUUUGAACGCACAUUGCGCCCCUUGGUAUUCCGGGGGGCAUGCCUGUUCGAGCGUCAUUUCAACCCUCAAGCUCUGCUUAGUCUUGGGCCGCGCCGGCAACGGCGGGCCUCAAAAACAGUGGCGGCGCCAUCUGGUCCCUCAGCGUAGUAAUUCUUCUCGCUGCUGGGCCCCGGUGGCCGCUUGCCAGCAACCCCAAACUUUCUAUGGUUGACCUCGGAUCAGGUAGGGAUACCCGCUGAACUUAAGCAUAUCAAUAAGCGGAGGA